ensembl:lncRNA novel transcript, antisense to ELMO2
GAGGUGGUCUGGUCUUUCUGAGGUACAGCGUAGUUUUGUCCUCCGCGAAGUCCCUCAGGCUCAGAGCACAGCCGUGUAAUUGUCUGCGUCUCUCCCGCGCUCAAUCAGGGGCUUGCUUUGGAACCCCGGUGCCUGCUAGUGUUCUGCAUACAGUGAGCAUCCAAAAAAUGGCAGCCUUUCCUGGGCCAGCUGUUGCUCACGUGGGGAUCCAGCUGAUCAGAGAGCAGGCUCAGGAGGAAAAGGGCAACAAACAGUAGAGCUGGCCUUGGUCCCUCCCUGGACGCACUGCAAUUGCUGGUGAGAUGGCUGCCUAGAGGCAACUCUGCUCACAGAGGAUCGCGGGAAAAAGCUAUUCAGUUCAAGAGGGACACAGAAUCACUUAUCUAUUUCCCAAGACCAAAGAAGACAUUGGACCUUUGUCAAACUCCAACACCUGUUGGGAGAACCUAAGGAAGUUGUUAAGCAAGUGACUGGAGCCCAAUUCCUGCUGCCGCCAAGGAGUCAGGCCUGCUGGCCCUCUCCCCUUUGCCUCUCCUCUUUUACUAUUACAAAGCUGGCCCUUCAAAGCACAGUGCUCUCUGCAAUACAGAAGCC